GACGAACGCUGGCGGCGUGCCUAAUACAUGCAAGUAGAACGCUGAAGGAGGAGCUUGCUCUUCUGGAUGAGUUGCGAACGGGUGAGUAACGCGUAGGUAACCUGCCUGGUAGCGGGGGAUAACUAUUGGAAACGAUAGCUAAUACCGCAUAACAGUAGAUGUUGCAUGACAUUUACUUAAAAGGUGCAAUUGCAUCACUACCAGAUGGACCUGCGUUGUAUUAGCUAGUUGGUGGGGUAACGGCUCACCAAGGCGACGAUACAUAGCCGACCUGAGAGGGUGAUCGGCCACACUGGGACUGAGACACGGCCCAGACUCCUACGGGAGGCAGCAGUAGGGAAUCUUCGGCAAUGGACGGAAGUCUGACCGAGCAACGCCGCGGGAGUGAAGAAGGUUUUCGGAUCGUAAAGCUCUGUUGUAAGAGAAGAACGAGUGUGAGAGUGGAAAGUUCACACUGUGACGGUACCUUACCAGAAAGGGACGGCUAACUACGUG
rnacentral:rRNA from 1 species